rnacentral:misc_RNA from 1 species
AACGCACGAGACCUGCGGACCUGCGGAAGGAUCAUUAUUGAAUGUGCUUGAUGGGUUGUUGCUGGCUUUUCGAAGCAUGUGCACACCUAUCUUGACUCUAUUCAUCCACCUGUGCACCUAGUGUAGUCCUUUCUUCUCUCUAAGGUCAAGAAAAGUGGGCUUGACUCAGUCUUGACAAGACUGGAUUUGAGGAUUGCUUUUUAAUCUCUCCUCUUCUGCUCUCGUUGAAUUGGGUCUUAU